rnacentral:tRNA from 2 species
CAAAGUAAAGCUUAUAAGUGAAGCAUCUCAUUUACAUUGAGAAGAUUUUGUGCAAUUCAAAUAUUUUGA